GACUCGGUAGCGCAGUGGUCAAGGCUGACUUGAGAUCGUAAGGUCCCGAGUUCAAGCCCCGGCCACAACC